rnacentral:lncRNA from 1 species
AGGGAGGUGAUCCAUGCACCGAUCUUAUAUAGAUUCGUCACCAUCCUCCAUGACGAUCCAGCGAUUGAGAGAAUUUAGAAACUAACCACUAAUAAUGUAUGUCUUAACUUCUCAACAUCUUGAGAAUAUACAAUAUCAUCUUUGUUAAUUUAUGGGACAAAUCAUGGACACAUAAACAUGAUUGAAAAUAAAAAAUAUUUUUUAUUAAUAAUAAAGUUUUACAAGUACAAGAAAAAGUUCUGAAAAUAUAAAUGUGCUAGCCAAC